rnacentral:rRNA from 1 species
GACGAACGCUGGCGGCGUGCCUAAUACAUGCAAGUAGGACGCAGUUGCGAACGGGUGAGUAACGCGUAGGUAACUACCUAUUAGAGGGGGAUAACUAUUGGAAACGCAAGCUAAUACCGCAUACUAGUAGAUGGACCUGCGUUGUAUUAGCUAGUAGGUAGGGUAAUGGCCUACCUAGGAAACGAUCAAUAGCCGCACCGAUGGGGGUGUCGGCCAAACUGGGACGGAGAAACGGCCCAGAAUCCUACGGGAGGCAGCAGUAGGGAAUCUUCGGCAAUGGGGGGAACCCUGACCCGGCAACGCCGCGGGAGGGAAGAAGGUUUUCGGAUCGUAAAGCUCUGUUGUUAAGGAAGCGGUACUUAACCAGAAAGGGACGGCUAACUACGUGCCAGCAGCCGCGGUAAUUC